UGUCUUGGCUAAUGUGUCUUGGCUAAUGUGUCUUGGCUAAUGUGUCUUGGCUAAGGUGUCUUGGCUAAUGUGUCUUGGCUUAUGUGUCUCGGCUAAUGUGUCUUGGCUAAGGUGUCUUGGCUAAUGUGUCUUGGCUAAUGUGUCUUGGCUAAUGUGUCUUGGCUUAUGUGUCUUGGCUAAGGUGUCUUGGCUAAGGUGUCUUGGCUAAUGUGUCUUGGCUAAGGUGUCUUGGCUAAGGUGUCUUGGCUAAGGUGUCUUGGCUAAUGUGUCUUGGCUAAUGUGUCUUGGCUAAGGUGUCUUGACUAAUGUGUCUUGGCUAAGGUGUCUUGGCUAAGGUGUCUUGGCUAAGGUGUCUUGGCUAAUGUGUCUUGGCUAAUGUGUCUUGGCUAAGGUGUCUUGGCAAAUGUGUCUUGGCUAAGGUGUCUUGGCUAAGGUGUCUUGGCUAAUGUGUCUUGGCUAAGGUGUCUUGGCUAAGGUGUCUUGGCUAAGGUGUCUUGGCUAAUGUGUCUUGGCUAAGGUGUCUUGGCUAAUGUGUCUUGGCUAAUGUGUCUUGGCUAAUGUGUCUUGGCUAAGGUGUCUUGGCUAAUGUGUCUUGGCUAAGGUGUCUUGGCUAAUGUGUCUUGGCUAAUGUGUCUUUUCUAAGGUGUCUUGGCUAAUGUGUCUUGGCUAAUGUGUCUUGGCUAAGGUGUCUUGGCUAAGGUGUCUUGGCUAAGGUGUCUUGGCUAAUGUGUCUUGGCUAAGGUGUCUUGGCUAAGGUGUCUUGGCUAAGGUGUCUUGGCUAAGGUGUCUUGGCUAAUGUGUCUUGGCUAAGGUGUCUUGGCUAAUGUGUCUUGGCUAAGGUGUCUUGGCUAAGGUGUCUUGGCUAAGGUGUCUUGGCUAAUGUGUCUUGGCUAAGGUGUCUUGGCUAAUGUGUCUUGGCUAAUGUGUCUUGGCUAAUGUGUCUUGGCUAAGGUGUCUUGGCUAAUGUGUCUUGGCUGAGGUGUCUUGGCUAAGGUGUCUUGGCUAAGGUGUCUUGGCUAAUGUGUCUUGGCUAAGGUGUCUUGGCUAAGGUGUCUUGGCUAAUGUGUCUUGGCUAAUGGGUCUUGGCUAAGGUGUCUUGGCUAAGGUGUCUUGGCUAAGGUGUCUUGGCUAAUGUGUCUUGGCUAAUGUGUCUCGGCUAAUGUGUCUUGGCUAUGGUGUCUUGGCUAAUGUGUCUUGGCUAAUGUGUCUUGGCUAAUGUGUCUUGGCUAAUGUGUCUUGGCUAAGGUGUCUUGGCUAAUGUGUCUUGGCUAAUGUGUCUUGGCUAAUGUGUCUUGGCUAAGGUGUCUUGGCUAAUGUGUCUUGGCUAAUGUGUCUUUUCUAAGGUGUCUUGGCUAAUGUGUCUUGGCUAAUGGGUCUUGGCUAAGGUGUCUUGGCUAAGGUGUCUUGGCUAAUGUGUCUUGGCUAAUGUGUCUUGGCUAAUGUGUCUUGGCUAAGGUGUCUUGGCUAAGGUGUCUUGGCUAAUGUGUCUUGGCUAAUGGGUCUUGGCUAAGGUGUCUUGGCUAAGGUGUCUUGGCUAAUGUGUCUUGGCUAAUGUGUCUUGGCUAAUGUGUCUUGGCUAAUGUGUCUUGGCUAAUGUGUCUUGGCUAAGGUGUCUUGGCUAAUGUGUCUUGGCUAAUGUGUCUUGGCUAAUGUGUCUUGGCUAAUGUGUCUUGGCUAAUGUGUCUUGGCUAAUGUGUCUUGGCUAAGGUGUCUUGGCUAAGGUGUCUUGGCUAAUGUGUCUUGGCUAAUGUGUCUUGGCUAAGGUGUCUUGGCUAAGGUGUCUUGGCUAAUGUGUCUUGGCUAAUGUGUCUUGGCUAAGGUGUCUUGGCUAAUGUGUCUUGGCUAAUGUGUCUUGGCUAAUGUGUCUUGGCUAAGGUGUCUUGGCUAAUGUGUCUUGGCUAAUGUGUC